rnacentral:misc_RNA from 1 species
GAUGAAGAACGCAGCGAAAUGCGAUAAGUAGUGUGAAUUGCAGAAUUCAGUGAAUCAUCGAAUCUUUGAACGCACAUUGCGCCCCUUGGUAUUCCAUGGGGCAUGCCUGUUCGAGCGUCAUUUGUACCCUCAAGCACUCCUUGGUGUUGGGUGUUUGUCCCGCUUUGCGCGUGGACUCGCCUUAAAGCAAUUGGCAGCCGGCAGAUUGGCCUGGAUCGCGAGCACAUUUUGCGACCUUGUCAUAACUGUUUGGCACCCAUCAAGACUAUUUUUUGCUCUUGACCUCGGAUCAGGUAGGGAUACCCGCUGAACUUAAGCAUAUCAAUAAGCGGAGGA